CAGUCGCCGCGGUAACACGUAGGUGGCAAGCGUUGUCCGGAAUUAUUGGGCGUAAAGGGCUCGCAGGCGGUUUCUUAAGUCUGAUGUGAAAGCCCUCGGCUCAACCGGGGAGGGUCAUUGGAAACUGGGAAACUUGAGUGCAGAAGAGGAGAGUGGAAUUCCACGUGUAGCGGUGAAAUGCGUAGAGAUGUGGAGGAACACCAGUGGCGAAGGCGACUCUCUGGUCUGUAACUGACGCUGAGGAGCGAAAGCGUGGGGAGCGAACAGGAUUAGAUACCCCGUAGUCCCUGUCUCUUAUACA
rnacentral:rRNA from 1 species